AACGAACGCUGGCGGCAUGCCUAACACAUGCAAGUCGAACGAGACCUUCGGGUCUAGUGGCGCACGGGUGCGUAACGCGUGGGAACCUGCCCUUAGGUUCGGAAUAACUCCCCGAAAGGGGUGCUAAUACCGGAUAAUGUCUUCGGACCAAAGAUUUAUCGCCUUUGGAUGGGCCCGCGUUGGAUUAGCUAGUUGGUAGGGUAAAAGCCUACCAAGGCGACGAUCCAUAACUGGUCUGAGAGGAUGAUCAGCCACACUGGGACUGAGACACGGCCCAGACUCCUACGGGAGGCAGCAGUGGGGAAUAUUGGACAAUGGGCGAAAGCCUGAUCCAGCAAUGCCGCGUGAGUGAUGAAGGCCUUAGGGUUGUAAAGCUCUUUUACCCGGGAUGAUAAUGACAGUACCAGGAGAAUAAGCUCCGGCUAACUCCGUG
rnacentral:rRNA from 1 species